GACGAACGCUGGCGGCGUGCUUAACACAUGCAAGUCGAACGGAAAGGCCCUGCUUUUGUGGGGUGCUCGAGUGGCGAACGGGUGAGUAACACGUGAGUAACCUGCCCUUGACUUUGGGAUAACUUCAGGAAACUGGGGCUAAUACCGGAUAGGAGCUCCUGCUGCAUGGUGGGGGUUGGAAAGUUUCGGCGGUUGGGGCUGGACUCGCGGCUUAUCAGCUUGUUGGUGGGGUAGGGGUUGACCAAGGCUUUGACGGGUAGCCGGCCUGAGAGGGUUGCCGGCGUCCUGAGGACUGCGAUACGGCCCAGACUCCUACGGGAGGCAGCGGUGGGGAAUAUUGCACAGUGGGCGGAAGCCAGAUGCGGCAACGCCGCGUGCGGGAUGACGGGCUUCGGGUUGUAAACCGCUGUCGCCUGUGACGAGGAGUGAGUGACGGUAAUGGGUAAAGAAGCACCGGCUAACUACGUG
rnacentral:rRNA from 1 species